rnacentral:rRNA from 1 species
UGAGGAAUAUUGGUCAAUGGGGGCAACCCUGAACCAGCCAAGUCGCGUGAAGGAUGAAGGUCUUAUGGAUUGUAAACUUCUUUUAUACGGGAAUAACUUGCGGGACGUGUCCCGCAUUGCAUGUACCGUAUGAAUAAGGAUCGGCUAACUCCGUGCCAGCAGCCGCGGUAAUACGGAGGAUCCGAGCGUUAUCCGGAUUUAUUGGGUUUAAAGGGUGCGCAGGCGGGAUGUUAAGUCGGCGGUGAAAUUUUGCAGCUCAACUGUAAAAGUGCCUUCGAUACUGGCUUCCUUGAGUGUGGAUGAAGUAGGCGGAAUUUGUGGUGUAGCGGUGAAAUGCUUAGAUAUCACGAGGAACUCCGAUUGCGCAGGCAGCUUACUAAACCACUACUGACGCUCAUGCACGAAGGCGUGGGGAUCAAACAGG